rnacentral:ncRNA from 1 species
AAGGCGGAAACCGAAAAGCCUAAAAAGAGUAGGUG